UGUGGGCAUUAGUACUGUAUGGUAGCACUAGAUUACCUUGCUAUACAUUGGCAAUUUGGCUUGGCUCAGUCUUACAGGACCAGCACAGUGCCCUCUGCUGGCGAUUUCACAGGGGCAGUCACCAUCUCUUCCUUAUGUGAUUUUUCUUUUUCUCUAUCACCACAGGGACCUUGUUCUCGAUCCAGCGGACACCACGCCAACGCCAGUGACAUCCUGGAUGAGAUCAUGAACUACAGCAGCUAACAGAGUUUUAUAAUGUCCUACCUGGGAUGAUGCAUGGAAAUCGGGAGAACAACUGAUACACCACCUUAUCUACAUAGAGACAUGCAGCUGAACAUCGAAACAUCGCAAGCAAGAAGCUUCAUAAAAAUCAAUUUAAAAAGUAUAUUUUAAUAAACAUGUUCUUUAUACAUUAAA